rnacentral:rRNA from 1 species
GAUGAACGCUGGCGGCGUGCCUAAUACAUGCAAGUCGAACGGGGAGUAGCAAUACUCUUAGUGGCGAACGGGUGAGUAACGCGUUGGUACCUGCCCCGAAGCGGGGGAUAACGGACCGAAAGGUCCGCUAAUACCCCAUGUGCUCGGUAACGAGUAAAGGUGAAAACCACUUUGGGAGGGGCCUGCGUCCCAUCAGCUAGUUGGUAAGGUAACGGCUUACCAAGGCGAUGACGGGUAGGGGACCUGAGAGGGUGGCCCCCCACAAUGGAGCUGAAACACGGUCCAUACACCUACGGGUAGCAGCAGUAGGGAAUAUUGGUAAUGGGCGCAAGCCUGAACCAGCAACGCCGCGUGUGCGAUGACGGCCUUCGGGUUGUAAAGCACUUUUGACUGGGACGAGGAAGGACGGUACCGGUCGAAUCAGCCUCGGCUAACUACGUG